rnacentral:rRNA from 1 species
CCAGAGAAUUUAGCAGAGAUGCUUUAGUGCCUUCGGGAACUCUGAGACAGGUGCUGCAUGGCUGUCGUCAGCUCGUGUUGUGAAAUGUUGGGUUAAGUCCCGCAACGAGCGCAACCCUUAUCCUUUGUUGCCAGCACGUAAUGGUGGGAACUCAAAGGAGACUGCCGGUGAUAGACCGGAGGAAGGUGGGGAUGACGUCAAGUCAUCAUGGCCCUUACGAGUAGGGCUACACACGUGCUACAAUGGCGCAUACAAAGAGAAGCGACCUCGCGAGAGCAAGCGGACCUCAUAAAGUGCGUCGUAGUCCGGAUUGGAGUCUGCAACUCGACUCCAUGAAGUCGGAAUCGCUAGUAAUCGUAAAUCAGAAUGUUACGGUGAAUACGUUCCCGGGCCUUGUACACACCGCCCGUCACACCAUGGGAGUGGGUUGCAAAAGAAGUAGAUAGCUUAACCUUCGGGAGGGCGUUUACCACUUUGUGAUUCAUGACUGGGGUGAAGUCGUAACAAGGUAAGCGUAGUGCU